UAUACAAUCUACCUUUAACUGAGGGAUAGCCCAGAGAAAUUUGGAUUAAUACCUCAUAGUAUUAUAAUUAGGCAUCUUUUUAUAAUUAAAACUUCGGUGGUUAAAGAUGAGUAUGCGUACUAUUAGCUAGUUGGUAAGGUAAAAGCUUACCAAGGCAACGAUAGUUAGGGGGCCUGAAAGGGUGAUCCCCCACACUGGUACUGAGACACGGACCAGACUCCUACGGGAGGCAGCAGUGAGGAAUAUUGCACAAUGGAGGAAACUCUGAUGCAGCCAUGCCGCGUGCAGGAAGAAUGCCCUAUGGGUUGUAAACUGCUUUUAUACAAGAAGAAACCUCGGUACGUGUACCGACUUGACGGUAUUGUAUGAAUAAGCACCGGCUAACUCCGUGCCAGCAGCCGCGGUAAUACGGAGGGUGCAAGCGUUAUCCGGAUUUAUUAGGUUUAAAGGGUCCGCAGGCGGAAUAUUAAGUCAGUGGUGAAAGCCUACAGCUCAACUGUA
rnacentral:rRNA from 1 species